rnacentral:rRNA from 1 species
UGAGUACGAGAUGCUACGGCAUCGAAGCAGUCUAUGUCAUACUUCCAAGAAAAGCUUGCAAUGUCAUAAACAAAUAAUGCCUGUACCAUAACCGACACAGGUGGGUAGGUAGAGUAUACUAAGGGGCGCGAGAUAACUCUCUCUAAGGAACUCGGCAAAAUGACUCCGUAACUUCGGGAGAAGGAGUGCCUUAUUUUUAUAAGGUUGCAAUAACAAGAUCCAAGCAACUGUUUACCAAAAACACAGGUCUCCGCUAAGUCGUAAGACGAUGUAUGGGGGCUGACGCCUGCCCAGUGCCAGAAGGUUAAAGAAGUUGGUUAGCAUUAGCGAAGCUGAUAACUGAAGCCCUGGUGAACGGCGGCCGUAACGAUAACGGUCCUAAGGUAGCGAAAUUCCUUGUCGGGUAAGUUCCGACCCGCACGAAAGGCGUAAUGAUUUGGAUACUGUCUCGGAGAGGGGCUCGGUGAAAUAGACUUGUCUGUGAAGAUGCGGACUACCUGCACCUGGACAGAAAGACCCUAUGAAGCUUUACUGUAACUUGAGAUUGAAAUUGGACUUUAUCUGCGCAGUAUAGGUGGGAGACGUUGAAAAUAUUCUUGCGGGAAUAUUGGAGUCAUCAGUGAGAUACCACUCUUAUAAUGUUAGAUUUCUAACUUUGUAUCAUUAUCUGGUCAAAGAACAGUUUCAGGCGGGCAGUUUGACUGGGGCGGUCGCCUCCCAAACGGUAACGGAGGCGCACAAAGGUUUCCUCUGAACGUGUAGAAAUCGUAUCUAGAGUGUAAAGGCAUAAGGAAGCUUGACUGUGAGACCUACAAGUCGAGCAGGGACGAAAGUCGGUCUUAGUGAUCUGACGGUGCUGAGUGGAAAGGCCGUCACUCAACGGAUAAAAGUUACUCUAAGGAUAACAGGCUGAUCUCCCCCAAGAGUUCACAUCGACGGGGAGGUUUGGCACCUCGAUGUCGGCUCAUCGCAUCCUGGGGCGGUAGUACGUCCCAAGGGUUGGGCUGUUCGCCCAUGAAAGCGGUACGCGAGCUGGGUUCAGAACGUCGUGAGACAGUUCGGUCCAUAUCCGGUGUAGGCGUUAGAAUAUUGAGAGGAGCCUUCUUUAGUACGAGAGGACCGAGAAGGACAUACCUCUGGUGUACCAGUUAUCGUGCCAACGGUAAACGCUGGGUAGCCAUGUAUGGAGAGGAUAACCGCUGAAAGCAUCUAAGUGGGAAGCCCACCUCAAGAUAAGUAUUCUC